UACGGAGGGUGCAAGCGUUAUCCGGAUUCACUGGGUUUAAAGGGUGCGUAGGCGGGCAGGUAAGUCCGUGGUGAAAUCUCUGAGCUUAACUCAGAAACUGCCAUGGAUACUAUUUGUCUUGAAUAUUGUGGAGGUAAGCGGAAUAUGUCAUGUAGCGGUGAAAUGCUUAGAUAUGACAUAGAACACUAAUUGCGAAGGCAGCUUACUACACAGUUAUUGACGCUGAGGCACGAAAGCGUGGGGAUCAAACAGG
rnacentral:rRNA from 1 species